UCGCUGAUGGAUGGACCCGCGGUGCAUUAGCUAGUUGGUGAGGUAACGGCUCACCAAGGCCACGAUGCAUAGCCGACCUGAGAGGGUGAUCGGCCACAUUGGGACUGAGACACGGCCCAAACUCCUACGGGAGGCAGCAGUAGGGAAUCUUCGGCAAUGGACGAAAGUCUGACCGAGCAACGCCGCGUGAGUGAAGAAGGUUUUCGGAUCGUAAAACUCUGUUGUUAGAGAAGAACAAGGAUGAGAGUAACUGUUCAUCCCUUGACGGUAUCUAACC
rnacentral:rRNA from 1 species